rnacentral:rRNA from 1 species
UACUAGAGUAGCACUCGCAUAUCAAUAAGCGGAGGAAAAGAAACUAACUAGGAUUCCCUUAGUAACGGCGAGUGAAGCGGGAAGAGCUCAAAUUUGAAAUCUUCAAGGUUCUACCUUGACGAAUUGUAGUUUAAAGAAGCGUUUUCUGUUGGAGUUUUGGUAAAAGUUCUUUGGAAUAGGACAUCAUAGAGGGUGAGAAUCCCGUAUUUGACCAUUUCUUCCAGCUGUGUGAUACACUUUCAAAGGGUCGGAUUGUUUGGGAAUGCAGUCCAAAAUGGGUGGUAAAUUUCAUCUAUAGCUAAAUAUUGGCGAGAGACCGAUAGCGAACAAGUACCGUGAGGGAAAGAUGAAAAGAACUUUGAAAAGAGAGUUAAACAGUACGUGAAAUUGUCAAAAGGGAAGCGUUUGACACCAGUGUUGUUUAGUUGAAAAUCAAUUCAAUAGUUUUUGAUUCUAAGUAGUAUUGACUUCAUCAGCUUGCUGCCUUUCUUUAUGGAACUUUCUUGAAUGCACUUUUCAGUUAACAAGUCAACAUCAAUUUCUUUUGUUGUAAAAGAGUAAUGAGGAAGGUGGCUUGGCUUUCGGAUAAAGUGUUUAUAGCCUUUGUCUUCUGCAAUCGGAGAGAUUGAGGUCUGCAGCGUAGAUCCUUCGGGGUUAGAUACAUUGGUGCUAAGCUAUAGUUCUUGUAUAGACAACUUGUUGACUAUGAUCAGUCCUGUAGCUUACUCGCUGAUGCUAUUUUACCUACGCUUAGGAUGUUGAAGAUGUAGCACAUCAU